rnacentral:rRNA from 1 species
UACGUAGGGGGCUAGCGUUAUCCGGAAUUACUGGGCGUAAAGGGUGCGUAGGUGGUUUCUUAAGUCAGAGGUGAAAGGCUACGGCUCAACCGUAGUAAGCCUUUGAAACUGGGAAACUUGAGUGCAGAUGAAGUAGGCGGAAUUUGUGGUGUAGCGGUGAAAUGCAUAGAUAUCACGAGGAACUCCGAUUGCGCAGGCAGCUUACUAAACCAUAACUGACGCUCAGGCACGAAGGCGUGGGGAUCAAACAGGAUUAGAUACCCCGGUAGUCCCUGAG